UAUGUAUGUAUGUAUGUAUAUAGAUGUAUGUAUACACUCACACACACACACACAUAAUGUAACAAGACAUAUUUUCAGCUUCAAAUGAACUAGUUAGGUAUGCAUUCAUUCAAUAAAGAUUUGUCUCUUUUAAAAGGAUAUAUGCACACAUCUUUCUCUCUCCACCCCCCUCCUUUCUCUCACAUAUACAUAUGUAUAUGUAUAUGUACAUAUAUAAAUACCUUGGUCAUAUCUUGGUCACUGGUCAUUGAAAAUCCUCUCUCUCUCUCCCCCUCCCUCCCUUUCUCUCUCACACACACACAUAAAUAUUUACCAUUUACCAUUUAUGUCCCAUCCUUAACAGGUAUGUAAAUAUUUCUUUUAUAAGGAAAACACAUUUCCAUUAAAUGAAAUAUUUAAUUUGCUUUUCCCACCCUGUACUUACACUUCUGAAUGCUAUGGAGUUUCACUUUUGAUUCUAAGCAGUUUCAUUUUCUAAGUGCCAUAGCCUUGUGCAAUAUUUGCAUUCCAGGCACUGUAGGAGAAUGUUGAAACCAUACUUCAAAGCUAUUUGUUAAAGCAUUUGUUUUAUCAGUCAUUCGGCUCUUCAUGUUAGGUUUAAAACAACAAAGAAAAGGUGCCCUUUACCUAGUUUAAUACCUCACUGUCCUUCCCCCAUGAAACCCUCUGAAAAAACCUUCUCUGGCAGUUGGGAGAGCCUACAGAAAGGAUUAGGAUAAGGAGCAAACCACUAUACUUGUAGCGUGAGUUUUAGAAGCUUGCUUACCAAAAUGCCUCCAGGUGGUUUUCCCAUUUUGGUUUUUGAGUUUUGGGGUUUUUUUUUGCCUUGCCAGAGAACUCUUCGCCUGUAAUUCAGGAGGAAUGGGCAUACUCUCCAUCUAUUGACUGGUAUGCUCUUCAACCUUGCUCCCUAGUGCUUUUCAAUCUACUUUAAAGCUAAUUGAGAGAUUCCUUCAACAAUUGGCUGGAAAGAAUAGGCUGUCACAGGCUAUGUAUAAAAAUGCAUAUAAAUUGGGAGUUAGAAUUAGCUCAUUCUGAUUCCCAGGUUGGUUGGCUGUCUAAUUACAAAGAAGAGCAGCAAUCAGUAUCCACAAUACUGUAUGUUAAUCUUUGAGCCACACUAUUGGAUCAACAGCUGGGACAUCCAGUUCAGACAGGUAUGUAUAUGGAGGGAGUAUACGUAGAUGGGUAUCAACAGACCUACACUACCGUCACUAUCAACAUUUUCCUUCCAUUCUGCAGUCCCAAGUUUAGUACUCUUGAAAUAAACCUGGAGCCUUAUAUCCUUCCCAUUCUGCCUUCUAGCAUUUUUUAUGAUACCUCUACAAAUCAUUAUUUCCACCCUCCAAUCUCUUGCAACACUAUCUGAAGCUUUCCUGCAAAUAUAUUCACUUCUGAUGACAUCAGUAAUCCAAAGGAGUACUGGUUUUAAUUUUAUUAUAAGGUUUCAUCAAUAGAAUCUUGCAAGUGAAAGUACAUGUUGUCACCAACAUCAAUCUUGCAAGUCUGAAAGUACAACUCUGAUCAACAACAUCAAUCUUGCAAGAGGCCUCUUAUCUGACCAUUGCCUAGCCUGUGGUCCUUCUUCUUCCUCUUCUGCUUCUCAAGAACAUUCUCACAGACCAUUAUGGAUGCUCAUACAAAAGAAAACUCUCUUCCAGAUCAGUAAAAGAAAGAAUAGGUAUAUAUGGUGGUGUUAUAAAAUUAAUUUUAUUUUCCUUUAAAAAGGCUUUUAAAAAAAUGUUAAAGAAGACUUAGAGUAAGACAUGGCUUAAGUGACUCUUUUACACUCUCCUAUUUGACAGCUGGAGGAAAUGCUGAUUGGUUUUGUAGGCCUCUGAACAUUCUUUGGAUUACUGAUGUCAUCAGAAGUGAAUAUAUUUGCAGAGCCUAUUGUGGGACACCCCCCUCAGCUGAGAAAAUUGAUUCACUGGGAAACCAUUUUGGUCAAACAGAAGACAGACUAUGUGUUCUUUAAGGAACUCUGUCUUAAUCGCUGCCUUUUUUUCCCCUCUGGGAUAUGAAGAGGAUGCAAGAGAUCAAAAGGCUGAGAAGUGCAUGGGUUUGACCACAACUUUCUUAGAAAUAAUGGGGAACCUCCACUGAAAAAUGAGCUCUGUUACAAAGGACAAACAAGAAGGAAUGCUGCACAGGGUUCCCACAGCAUUUGGAAUCAUCAGGAUUUGGGCCUUUCCAUGAGGGAAAUAAUAAAGAAGAGAUUCUUCAUUUGGAACAUUGGAAUGAAAUUGAAAAGGCCAAGUUUUGAAAAGAAAACAACUGCUGGGUAAGCACCUCCAAUCACAGCAUCAUUCUGGAGUAUUUACCAGAACUGAGCAUAUGAGAACAAGGUUUUGCAAUGCAUCCAGGCUUUCUUGAAGCAGCAGUCUUGGAAGAUGGCGCUAAAAAGCUUUGCUCCUUCCCCUGGUCCUGGUCUAUGUGAUAACAAUACCAAUAUCACUUAUAUACUGCUUCACAGUGCUUUAAAGCCCUCUCUAAGCAGUUUACAGAGUCAGC